UCAAAUCUCCCCCUUUCUUUUCCAAAAGAAAUAUGAAUUGCAACUCACAAAAAAGAACAUAAUUUUCAAGUACUUUUGGCAUCGAAGAAAAAGAAAGAGAGAAAAGAGAGUAGCAUAUUCAUGAGGUAGUGACCUGUCAAAUUUUAUUAAAAACCAGUAAAAAUUAAGGAUAAAAGUGUAGUACAUUAUCUAGGGCUAAACAUAUGUGCUAAUCUACAACGUAGAUAGAUUCUAAGCCUCCUAGUUCUUCGUAAAUUUAUAUAAUACGAAUAAUUUCCCCACCCAGCCAUCAACCAAAAAAGGAGAAGAAAAUACGAUAAAACUACCAAAAGUUCAAUAAUACAAUGUACUCCAAUUGCGUGCUAAAAAUUUCUAUCAGUUUCUAACUUCUAAGGAGCAUGGAUGCCCCAAACUGCCCCUUGUAUCAACAUCAAACUAAUCUCCUGUCACCCAGUCCCAGCUCAGGCUGUUCAUGAAAAAGGGUUUAGAUAGAGAUCCUACAUUCUAAUCAUUAUACUCCCUCUUGUACUGAAAAAUUGAGAAAAAAAGAGGUUAUAUGCAUCUGUACUUCUGAGGCCAAGUUAAGGAGAUGACAGAUAAAGAAUGUGGGAAAAAUUUGGUGCUUACCCCCUCAUAAUCACUCCAAGGAG
rnacentral:misc_RNA from 1 species